AGACAUGAAGUAAACAAUCAAGAAAAGCAAUAAAUCUAUCAUGCAAACCUAAAAGAAAAUAUAAAAGAGAAAUAUAUGGGAAAAAGAGAGAAAAACCCGCAACUCGUCGGGUUUUAUACAAUGCAUGGAACCCGAGACAUAUGUCGGGAGAGAAAUGAAUAUUACAUAAUGACGGUCGGAGUGGACAUCGACCUACACCAUCUUCACGCCUUCUCCACCUUCAAGGUUCUAAUCUAAACCUAAUCUAAGAAAUUUAUGACUAGGUGUAUACAAGUGAAAGAAACAAUCAUCACAACUAAAAAGCAAUUGGGGUAGAACCCAUGUAUGAUUGGCUCUAAGAAAACAAGCACAAAAAUCAAGCACUUUAUAAAGAGCAACUUUCAUGAAUGGAAUUUCCUGAGGCGUAUCAAGUUCAAGUAAAGUCAAAUUCAUGGCUGAAAAGCAACAAUCGCUAAAGCAUACAAAUCAAUCAUAAGCAAAUCAGAGAAUGAUGCAUGAUAACUGAUUUGUUAAGCCACCUAAUCAAUGCAUGAAAAUCAUGAAAUUUGAACAUGACGUAGGGUUAAAUGUGAAGAAAAAGUUUUGUUUAGACAUUUAACCCUAAAUCCACGUGCAAAAAGGUCACACAAAUCCAUUAACAUUGAUAUGUGACUUGUCAUUAGGAGCAAAAUGCAUAACAAUUU
rnacentral:lncRNA from 1 species